rnacentral:rRNA from 1 species
UCGGUGCCGCAGCUAACGCAUUAAGUACUCCGCCUGGGAAGUACGCUCGCAAGAGUGAAACUCAAAGGAAUUGACGGGGACCCGAACAAGUAGCGGAGCAUGUGGUUUAAUUCGAAGCAACGCGAAGAACCUUACCUAAGCUUGACAUCCCAAUGACAUCUCCUUAAUCGGCGAGUUCCCUUCGGGGACAUUGGUGACAGGUGGUGCAUGGU